AUUGAACGCUGGCGGCAGGCCUAACACAUGCAAGUCGAACGGUAGCACAGAGAGCUUGCUCUCGGGUGACGAGUGGCGGACGGGUGAGUAAUGUCUGGGAAACUGCCUGAUGGAGGGGGAUAACUACUGGAAACGGUAGCUAAUACCGCAUAACGUCGCAAGACCAAAGAGGGGGACCUUCGGGCCUCUUGCCAUCAGAUGUGCCCAGAUGGGAUUAGCUAGUAGGUGGGGUAACGGCUCACCUAGGCGACGAUCCCUAGCUGGUCUGAGAGGAUGACCAGCCACACUGGAACUGAGACACGGUCCAGACUCCUACGGGAGGCAGCAGUGGGGAAUAUUGCACAAUGGGCGCAAGCCUGAUGCAGCCAUGCCGCGUGUAUGAAGAAGGCCUUCGGGUUGUAAAGUACUUUCAGCGGGGAGGAAGGCGAUAAGGUUAAUAACCUUGUCGAUUGACGUUACCCGCAGAAGAAGCACCGGUUA
rnacentral:rRNA from 1 species